rnacentral:snRNA from 1 species
AUACUUACCUGGCAGGGGAGAUACCACAAUCACGAAGGUGGUUUUCCCAGGGCCAGACACUCCACUUAUCCACUGCAGUGUGGAUGUGCUCACCCCUGAGAUUUCCCCAAAUGUGGGAAACUCAACUGCAUAAUUUGUGGUGGGGGAGACCGCGUUCGUGCUCUCCUC